rnacentral:rRNA from 1 species
AUACGUAGGUGACAAGCGUUAUCCGGAUUUACUGGGCGUAAAGGGCGUGUAGGCGGUCUUGCAAGUCAGAAGUGAAAUUCCUGAGCUCAACUCGGGCGCUGCUUCUGAAACUGCAGGACUUGAGUGCUGGAGGGGAUAGCGGAAUUCCUAGUGGAGCGGUAAAAUGCGCAGAUAUUAGGAAGAACACCGGUGGCGAAGGCGGCUAUCUGGACAGUAACUGACGCUGAGGCGCGAAAGCGUGGGGAGCAAACAGGAUUAGAUACCCUGGUAGUCCACGCUGUAAACGAUGAAUACUAGGUGUGGGGGGACUGACCCCCUCCGUGCCGCAGUUAACACAAUAAGUAUUCCACCUGGGGAGUACGUUCGCAAGAAUGAAACUCAAAGGAAUUGGCGGGG